AGUUUGAUCCUGGCUCAGAUUGAACGCUGGCGGCAGGCCUAACACAUGCAAGUCGAACGGUAACAGGAAGCAGCUUGCUGCUUUGCUGACGAGUGGCGGACGGGUGAGUAAUGUCUGGGAAACUGCCCGAUGGAGGGGGAUAACUACUGGAAACGGUAGCUAAUACCGCAUAAUGUCGCAAGACCAAAGAGGGGGACCUUCGGGCCUCUUGCCAUCGGAUGUGCCCAGAUGGGAUUAGCUAGUAGGUGGGGUAACGGCUCACCUAGGCGACGAUCCCUAGCUGGUCUGAGAGGAUGACCAGCCACACUGGAACUGAGACACGGUCCAGACUCCUACGGGAGGCAGCAGUGGGGAAUAUUGCACAAUGGGCGCAAGCCUGAUGCAGCCAUGCCGCGUGUAUGAAGAAGGCCUUCGGGUUGUAAAGUACUUUCAGCGGGGAGGAAGGCAGUACGGUUAAUAACCGUGCUGAUUGACGUUACCCGCAGAAGAAGCACCGGCUAACUCCGUGCCAGCAGCCGCGGUAAUACGGAGGGUGCAAGCGUUAAUCGGAAUUACUGGGCGUAAAGCGCACGCAGGCGGUCUGUCAAGUCGGAUGUGAAAUCCCCGGGCUCAACCUGGGAACUGCAUUCGAAACUGGCAGGCUUGAGUCUUGUAGAGGGGGGUAGAAUUCCAGGUGUAGCGGUGAAAUGCGUAGAGAUCUGGAGGAAUACCGGUGGCGAAGGCGGCCCCCUGGACAAAGACUGACGCUCAGGUGCGAAAGCGUGGGGAGCAAACAGGAUUAGAUACCCUGGUAGUCCACGCCGUAAACGAUGUCGACUUGGAGGUUGUGCCCUUGAGGCGUGGCUUCCGGAGCUAACGCGUUAAGUCGACCGCCUGGGGAGUACGGCCGCAAGGUUAAAACUCAAAUGAAUUGACGGGGGCCCGCACAAGCGGUGGAGCAUGUGGUUUAAUUCGAUGCAACGCGAAGAACCUUACCUGGUCUUGACAUCCACGGAAUUUGGCAGAGAUGCCUUAGUGCCUUCGGGAACCGUGAGACAGGUGCUGCAUGGCUGUCGUCAGCUCGUGUUGUGAAAUGUUGGGUUAAGUCCCGCAACGAGCGCAACCCUUAUCCUUUGUUGCCAGCGGUCCGGCCGGGAACUCAAAGGAGACUGCCAGUGAUAAACUGGAGGAAGGUGGGGAUGACGUCAAGUCAUCAUGGCCCUUACGACCAGGGCUACACACGUGCUACAAUGGCGCAUACAAAGAGAAGCGACCUCGCGAGAGCAAGCGGACCUCAUAAAGUGCGUCGUAGUCCGGAUUGGAGUCUGCAACUCGACUCCAUGAAGUCGGAAUCGCUAGUAAUCGUGGAUCAGAAUGCCACGGUGAAUACGUUCCCGGGCCUUGUACACACCGCCCGUCACACCAUGGGAGUGGGUUGCAAAAGAAGUAGGUAGCUUAACCUUCGGGAGGGCGCUUACCACUUUGUGAUUCAUGACUGGGGUGAAGUC
rnacentral:rRNA from 2 species